rnacentral:rRNA from 1 species
CCUACGGGUGGCAGCAGUGGGGAAUAUUGCACAAUGGGGGAAACCCUGAUGCAGCGACGCCGCGUGAGUGAAGAAGUAUCUCGGUACGUAAAGCUCUAUCAGCAGGGAAGAAAAUGACGGUACCUGACUAAGAAGCCCCGGCUAACUACGUGCCAGCAGUCGCGGUAAUACGUAGGGGGCAAGCGUUAUCCGGAUUUACUGGGUGUAAAGGGAGCGUAGACGGCAGCACAAGUCUGGAGUGAAAUCCCGGGGCUUAACCCCGGAACUGCUUUGGAAACUGUGCGGCUGGAGUGAAGGAGGGGUAAGCGGAAUUCGUGGUGUAGCGGUGAAAUGCGUAGAUAUUAGGAGGAACACCUGUGGCGAAGGCGGCUUACUGGACUGUAACUGACGUUGAGGCUCGAAAGCGUGGGGGGCAAACAGGAUUAGAUACCCCAGUAGUC